rnacentral:piRNA from 1 species
UAAUUUUGCUGAGAAGGCCGUCAUG